UUUUCCACGGGAAGAUUCUGAGGACCCAGACUCUGAGGACAUUUGGCUUAGUGUCUGAUUCGUAAAGGAUUGCAAAGUUCAGCAGAAGUUUGGUCUGACCCCCUUCAAAAACAAAAACCUAAAGUAACACCUAUGAGGUCCAAGGAAAAGAUUUAACCCAGAUCAUGAAGAACGGAAAGCGAACUAAAUCUGAACAGACUUUACUUAGCUGGUUUCACUCAUUCCAAUGCUGUGCAUAGGGUGAGCCCAAUACUCAGCUUCAUAGAUGGGAAAACUUGGGACUUAGGGCUUUAAAAGAGUAUCACAACGAGAGCU